ACCACUUGCCAGCCCGUUGGCGCUGCUCUGGUCCUCAGUACCAUGCAGGGUGUGCCGGUCAUUCUGCCAGCUUAAGCGUGAGGACCCUUUGUGUACUCUCACCUGCUCUCUCCUGGACUCCGGAAUGUCCCAGAUGAAAAACACCAGCCUGUAGGAUUCUCAGGCUUCUCUCUCCAAAGCGUUCUCCUUCUCAUCCCUAUCCCGGAGGGGCGUCUCCUAGAGGCGAUGGCCGAGCCCUGCGCCACCGCGGUCUUCUCACCUCCAAGAUCCGCUGGCUUCCUCCUAGCGUUAGCCCGACUCUAGACAUAGAACCCAUUUCCCUCCUCGUGCCGUCUCCUACCCAGCGCACCGUAGGCGCUCUAGAGGGACCGCUAAGGAAGGCGGUCACUGUCCUCGCAGACCGAACGACUUUUACCCUCCAGCGAACGCGCUUGCGCAGGCCGGCCGUCUUUGCCCAGGCGCGGGUAGUUGCUGCCGCCCACUUACCAACCACCUCGCUAGUACCAUUUUAUGGUGGGAGACGGGGCCUUAGAAAAGAGGGGGCAUAAUCCUGCCAACCAUCAUCGAGGCAUUCGUUCAUUCAUUAAUCCUCCCCUUAACAGACCUGUGUGUAGUACCUGCUGUGCUAAGUCCUGUUUGGGACACCAACACAAGAGGGUGCAAUGACAUUAUUGACACCUCGCCCUGCCACCACCACCACCAGGAAAGAACUACUGAAUUCCCCACCUUCUCAGCCUGUGAAUGUCGAAGGCCCUAAAACAGAACACACAUUUGUAUCAAGAUUUUUGACUCUGUUCCUGUGACCUGCCUGUCACCUUGCCCUCAAGUCUGCAACUGCCGUCUUCAGGCCCUCUCUAUUUUCGGUUUGUUUGCUUGUUUGCAUCUAUGUGGCCCUGGGCCCAUCCCUUCCCCCAGGGCAAUUAAAACUAGAGUUCCUGCUUUGGGGUGUGUGUGUGUGUGUGUGUGUGUGUGUGUGUGUGUGUGUGUUUCAAGACUCUAUGUGUAUGAGUAUUUUGCAUGCAUAUAUAUGUGUGUAUCAUUUGCAUGUCUGAUAACCCCAGAGUCAGAAGAGAGUGUCAGAGUCCCUGAAACUGAAAUAAUAGACAGUUGGGAACAGCCAUAUGGGUUCUGGGAAAUGAACCCAGGUCCUCUUCCAGCAAGAAGAGUGAGUCCUGCUGUUAACCAUGGAGCCAGCUUUCCAGCCUUUUGGAGUUUUUAUUUAAUCUUCGUUUUAUUUAUCACCAUGUGCCCACUUAACACCCUUUACCAGGCCUCAUUCAGGACGUUCACUCAAAGUCUGGGAUCUACGAUGCUGGUCAACCAUUCUGCUGUAAUUUAAGUGCUUUAAAGUCUAUAAAGUGUGCGCUGC
ensembl:processed_transcript 1700051A21Rik RIKEN cDNA 1700051A21 gene